rnacentral:tRNA from 1 species
GGACCGCUGGCGCAACGGUAGCGCGUUCGACUCCAGCUCGACAUUCGUCGAGGUGCCAUCGAAAGGUUAUCUGUUCAAAUCAGGUGGGGGUCA